AUUAGCUGCUAGUCCUACUAUCACAUAGUUUUGAAGUUGUUGGCAAGUAUGGCAGGGGACAACUCGACAUCUGUACUGAUAUCCCUUGUUAUUUUCUCUCUGGUUUUGUCUCCCAUGUUACCUUGUGCUAUGUCUCGUCCUCAUGUUUAUUGUCCAGCGUGUGUAUGUUGCGGGCCACAACCACCAGGCGGAGGCUGCUGUAGCUGCCGAUGCGCCUCGGUUGAAUCUACAACACCUUCCCAAACGGGAACUCCUUGAGAUUGAUUACUGGGAUUUUAGUUGCUUCAGAAAGCGAUCCAUUUAGGAGCGCUGUAUAAUAAAUGAAAAGGAUAGCCUCUUUUUCCUUUCAUUUUCAGUGUGUUUGCUUGGUUUUUUCUGUUCUUUUCGGGUUGAUCAAAUCUGGAAUAAAUGAUGGUAUCCUUAAACAGAAUAUGCUACUAAUUUCAUUCAAUCCAUGAUGUUUGAUUCGAUUUUCA